GUGCUCGCUUCGGCAGCACAUAUACUAAAAUUGGAAUGAUAUAGAGAAGAUUAGCAUGGCCCCUGCACAAGGAUGACAUGCAAAUUUAUGAAGCGUUCCAUAUUUUU
ensembl:snRNA U6 U6 spliceosomal RNA